rnacentral:rRNA from 1 species
AGUGAACGCUGGCGGCGUGCCUAACACAUGCAAGUCGGACGGGCUCCGGGUAGCAAUAUCCGGGGCCAGUGGCGAACGGGUGAGUAACACGUGGGUAACCUGCCCUCGAGUGGGGAAUAAGCUCCCGAAAGGGGGUCUAAUACCGCAUAACGUUUCAUGGCGAUGGUCAUGAAACCAAAGCCCAAAAGGCGCUCGAGGAGGGGCCUGCGGCCUAUCAGCUAGUUGGUAGGGUAAUGGCCUACCAAGGCUACGACGGGUAGCCGGCCUGAGAGGGUGUCCGGCCACACUGGGACUGAGACACGGCCCAGACUCCUACGGGAGGCAGCAGUGGGGAAUUUUGCGCAAUGGGGGAAACCCUGACGCAGCGACGCCGCGUGGAGGAUGAAGGCCUUCGGGUUGUAAACUCCUGUCAGAGGGGACGAAAUCCCGCAAGGGACUGACGGUACCCUCAGAGGAAGCCCCGGCUAACUACGUGCCAGCAGCCGCGGUAAUACGU